rnacentral:lncRNA from 1 species
CUGACCUGAGACCCUGGCUUGAUUGUGAGACACCAAAUGAGAAGUUCUGUGUGUGACUCCUGAAUUCCUCAAGAAGAGGGAUGGGAGAGGGAGAGGUAGGAAAUAUAACCAUCAUGUUGGAUGAUUCAGAUUCUAUAAACAAGAUGGAAGAGUCGCAUCAACACCCCUGUGUUGGUCAUAUAUUACAUGUAAGCUCUGUAGAGCAGACUUGUGACGCUAUAGGUCUAGGUGGAGCAUAUUGAGGGUGUGUGGGAGUCAGAGUCUGCAACUGUGGGGUGUGG